GAACGCCGAAGGGGAGCAAUCCCUGAGUAGAGUGGCAAACGGGUGAGUAACACGUGGGUGACCUGCCUUCGAGUGGGGGAUAACGUCCCGAAAGGGACGCUAAUACCGCAUGACAUCCUGCUUUUGGAAAAGCGGAGAUCAAAGCUGGGGAUUCGCAAGAACCUAGCGCUUGAAGAGGGGCCCGCGCCUGAUUAGCUAGUUGGUGAGGUAACGGCUCACCAAGGCUACGAUCAGUAUCCGGCCUGAGAGGGCGGACGGACACACUGGGACUGAGACACGGCCCAGACUCCUACGGGAGGCAGCAGUGGGGAAUUGUUCGCAAUGGGCGCAAGCCUGACGACGCAACGCCGCGUGGAGGAUGAAGAUCUUCGGGUCGUAAACUCCUGUCGAGUGGGAAGAAUUGCUUCAGGGUGAAUAUCCCUGAAGUUUGACGGUACCACUAAAGGAAGCCCCGGCUAACUCCGUGCCAGCAGCCGCGGUAAUACGGGGGGGGCAAGCGUUGUUCGGAAUUACUGGGCGUAAAGGGCUCGUAGGCGGCCAACUAAGUCGGAUGUGAAAUCCCCAGGCUCAACCUGGGAACUGCAUCCGAUACUGGAUGGCUUGAAUUCGGGAGAGGGAUGCAGAAUUCCAGGUGUAGCGGUGAAAUGCGUAGAUAUCUGGAGGAAUACCGGUGGCGAAGGCGGCAUCCUGGACCGACAUUGACGCUGAGGAGCGAAAGCUAGGGGAGCAAACGGGAUUAGAUACCCCGGUAGUCCUAGCCC
rnacentral:rRNA from 1 species